rnacentral:snRNA from 1 species
AUGGGUUAGUCGAUCCUAAGA